GUACACAGAGAUAUUAAAAAAAGCGCACAUCUGAAGAAAGAAGCACAAAUAGCAUCACCAUCAUCAGUAGCUCACCUUUAGUUCUCUUAUUAAAAAUUGGCUUUCGGAAAUUGAAUAUCUCCGGUGAUUUUUACCAAUCUUUUUGCGGUUCUGAUUUCUCUAAUCCAUGAAUAUGAUCUAUUUUCAUAAAGUAUGGACACAGAAAUGUUAGGUCCUUUUGCUAUUACCCAUUUCCGAUCCAAAAUAUGGAUUCGCCAACGAAAAAAAUCCUUCCGCUUUCCAUCUAGCUUCAAUUUUCUAUCACCCGUUGUUCUUUCUGUAGUCCUAGUAGGAUAACCCUCGUGACUCGAACCCGCAACUUUAAGAUUAGAGGUGGUAGGUGAAGUGACUCGAACCCGCAACCUUAAGAUUAGAGGUGGUAGGUGAAGGGUGCUUACGCCCUGAGCAAGCCCCUCUUGUCAGUUUCUACUGUAUUUCUGACGUGAAUGAAACUGAGUCUUGGAGCAAAAAAGGAUUGAGAAAUUGAGACCCAGUUUUUUUUCUUCCCCACCCUAGGAGCUCCCACCUUUCUGUUUUCUUGGUGAUUCGAACCCACAACCUUUAGAUUGAAGCUGAAGGGUGCUUACCACUCGAGCAAGCCCCUCUGAUCAAUUUCUACUAUACACUUCUGAACUUGAGUGAGACAGAGUGCAGGAGGAAAAAAGGAUUGAUAAAAUUGAGACCGAAUCGAAAAUGAGUUUAGGUGCAGCGGAGGAGGAAUCGGGUCAGCAAAUUCAGUUACCAGCUGAUAUAGACUGGAAAAUGCUGGACAAAUCCAAGUUUUUCUUCCUCGGCGCCGCCUUAUUUUCCGGUGUUUCAACUGCACUUUAUCCUGUUGUGGUGUUAAAAACUCGCCAACAAGUAGCGCAAGCUCACCUUUCCUGCUUCAAAACUGCCUUCUCCGUCGUUAAUCACGAAGGAAUUCGCGGGUUGUAUCGUGGGUUUGGGACUUCAUUGAUGGGUACAAUCCCUGCUAGGGCACUUUACAUGACUGCACUCGAGGUUACAAAGAGUAACGUCGGUACGGCCACGGUUAGGCUCGGGGUCCCCGAGCCUACUGCUGCGGCCAUAGCCGGCGCUGCAGCUGGGCUGAGCGCAGCCGUGGCCGCACAAUUGGUGUGGACACCAGUCGAUGUGGUGAGCCAGCGGCUCAUGGUGCAAGGGACUCAUGGUUCGUGUAAAUAUGUCAAUGGAAUUGAUGCUUUUCGGAGAAUCCUUCAAACAGAUGGACCUAAAGGACUCUACAGAGGGUUCGGGUUUUCAAUUUUGACAUACGCACCAUCCAAUGCGCUUUGGUGGGCAUCUUAUUCCGUUACUCAACGGCUUGUUUGGAGUGGAUAUGGAUGUUACUUAAGCAAGAAUGGUGAUAACUGUACUUUGAGGCCCGAUUCGAAGACUGUUAUGAUGGUUCAGGGAGUGAGCGCUGCCAUGGCUGGCGGAAUUUCAGCUCUGAUUACAACACCAUUAGACACAAUUAAGACAAGAUUACAAGUCCUGGAUGGCGAUGAAAAUGGUCGAAGAGGAGGGCCAACGGUAGCUCAAACGGUUAGGAAUUUAGUAAGGGAAGGCGGGUGGAUGGCUUGUUACAGAGGAUUAGGUCCUAGAUGGGCUUCAAUGUCAAUGUCUGCAACUACAAUGAUAACUACUUACGAAUUCCUCAAACGCCUCUCCACAAAGAAUCAAGAAAGUUGGGCAUCAUGAACCCAAUAGACAGUAUAAGUUCUCUUUGAUCCAUGUAUAAGUUUUAUUUUUGAAUGAUGAUCUUUUUUGUUUUAGAAUCACUAUGCUGAGUUUAAACAUAAACAAGCCUAGAUCAAGAACAAAAAUAAUGAUGAAUGUAAGUGGUUUCAUUUCACUAGUAUGAAUCUGUAUAUAUUAGUUCAGUUCACUAAGCUUAUUUUGUGUGUUACUGAA